AAGUCGUAACAAGGUUUCCGUAGGUGAACCUGCGGAAGGAUCAUUAGAAAAUCGCCGGCCUAGCCGGUAUAAAAUUCUAUCCACCUUGUGUGCAAACAAUGGAAAAAAAAAGAGAGAAAAUUUGGAUACUUUUUUUGUUUGUAUCCAACCUUUCUAAAAAAAUUUAUAAACUCCAUCAAAUUUUGAAUAAAACAAUUUUUUUUUUUUAAAUAAAAAAUAUUAUACAACUUUCAACAACGGAUCUCUUGGCUCUC
rnacentral:misc_RNA from 1 species